AUUGAACGCUGGCGGCAGGCUUAACACAUGCAAGUCGAGCGGAGAUGAGGUGCUUGCACCUUAUCUUAGCGGCGGACGGGUGAGUAAUGCUUAGGAAUCUGCCUAUUAGUGGGGGACAACAUUCCGAAAGAAAUGCUAAUACCGCAUACGUCCUACGGGAGAAAGCAGGGGAUCUUCGGACCUUGCGCUAAAAGAUGAGCCUAAGUCGGAUUAGCUAGUUGGUGGGGUAAAGGCCUACCAAGGCGACGAUCUGUAGCGGGUCUGAGAGGAUGAUCCGCCACACUGGGACUGAGACACGGCCCAGACUCCUACGGGAGGCAGCAGUGGGGAAUAUUGGACAAUGGGGGGAACCCUGAUCCAGCCAUGCCGCGUGUGUGAAGAAGGCCUUAUGGUUGUAAAGCACUUUAAGCGAGGAGGAGGCUACUGAGACUAAUACUCUUGGAUAGUGGACGUUACUCGCAGAAUAAGCACCGGCUAACUCUGUGCCAGCCGCCGCGGUAAAAC
rnacentral:rRNA from 1 species